rnacentral:rRNA from 1 species
AAGUCUGAUGUGAAAGCCCACGGCUCAACCGUGGAGGGUCAUUGGAAACUGGGAGACUUGAGUGCAGAAGAGGAUAGUGGAAUUCCAAGUGUAGCGGUGAAAUGCGUAGAGAUUUGGAGGAACACCAGUGGCGAAGGCGACUAUCUGGUCUGUAACUGACACUGAGGCGCGAAAGCGUGGGGAGCAAACAGGAUUAGAUACCCUGGUAGUCCACGCCGUAAACGAUGAGUGCUAAGUGUUAGGGGGUUUCCGCCCCUUAGUGCUGCAGCUAACGCAUUAAGCACUCCGCCUGGGGAGUACGGUCGCAAGACUGAAACUCAA